rnacentral:rRNA from 1 species
UGGGGAAUUUUGGACAAUGGGCGCAAGCCUGAUCCAGCCAUGCCGCGUGCGGGAAGAAGGCCUUCGGGUUGUAAACCGCUUUUGUCAGGGAAGAAAUCUUCUGAGUUAAUACCUCGGGAGGAUGACGGUACCUGAAGAAUAAGCACCGGCUAACUACGUGCCAGCAGCCGCGGUAAUACGUAGGGUGCAAGCGUUAAUCGGAAUUACUGGGCGUAAAGCGUGCGCAGGCGGUUUUGUAAGACAGAGGUGAAAUCCCCGGGCUCAACCUGGGAACUGCCUUUGUGACUGCAAGGCUUGAGUGCGGCAGAGGGGGAUGGAAUUCCGCGUGUAGCAGUGAAAUGCGUAGAUAUGCGGAGGAACACCGAUGGCGAAGGCAAUCCCCUGGGCCUGCACUGACGCUCAUGCACGAAAGCGUGGGGAGCAAACAGGAUUAGAUACCCUGGUAGUCCACGCCCUAAAACGAUGUCAACUGGUUGUUGGGAAGGUUCCUUCUCAGUAACGUAGCUAACGCGUGAAGUUGACCGCCUGGGGAGUACGGCCGCAAGGUUGAAACUUAAAUGAAUUGACGGGGUCUAGCUGUUUCC